GAUGAAAUAGCAUUCUCUGCUGAUCAAAAUAUUGAGAUAGCUUACAAUGGAUGUUAAAGAUAGACUAUGAGUGAUGCUGUUAUUGUCUGAAAAUUCAUUUGCUGCAGACUUACCACCCAUACCUUAGAAUGUAUGGGAGAUAGGACCUUCAAAGAGGUGAUUAGUUAAAAUGAGGCCACUAGGGUAGGCCCUAAAAUUCAAUCUAACUGGUGUUCUUUAAAGAGGAAAUUUGGACACAUAGCAAGUCACUAGGAAUGCAUGCACACAGAGAAAAAAUUAUGUGAGGACAGAAGAAGAAAGUGACCAUCCGCAAGGAGAGAAGCCUGUGUAGAAACCAAACCUGCCAACACCUUGAUCUUGGACUCAAACCUCCAAAACUCAUCUACAGCAGAAGACCUCAAUAAUGCAUAAGAACAUCUGGAAGUACGGUAAUUUCAGCUAUCAGAGAUAAGAAUUGACACAGAACAGGGUCCAGUCUAUGUCAUGCUGCGUUUAGAGAAUACCUUGGCUGUGCUUCUUCUGCACAGUGCUUUCCUUUUCUGCAAAGGAUACUGAGGUUUCUCUUGGUGUGAAUAAUGGCACAUUUCAGCUUACAUCAGCUCCUCAGAGGGAACUGCAAAAAUGAAAUGAAGAUGUCUUUGACUCCAAAGCACUGAGAGAGCAAAAGAAAAGAUUUUUACUUGGGAUGGUGAAGAAUAGAUUUUAAAUGAACAUACAGACGUGGGAAAGGAGGUGCCUUGUGCACUUACAAAACUAUGAUUUUGGGCCCUUCACAUGAUUCAAGACUAUGAUAGAGGAAGAAUGAGAACAUUUGAUUAAUUGAAAUUUCAAUGAAUGGUCACUAUGCCAAGUGUAUAGAGAAAAAUGUAUGUUAGCAAUGCCCUUAACAAUCUUACAAAUGAUGAGCAGUUGGGCCACGAAAAAUGUCCAGACAUUUCUUGCAAUUCUACAACUUGAAAUUCCUGAGUAGUUUUAUUAUACCAAAAUGACUUAAUUAUGUUCAUUUUUAUUUUUAUUUUUUUUUCAUUCUACCAAUGUCAGUUUAUUGUAGGAAGAGUGUUUUUCUGACUCCCUUUUCUUCUCCAAAUCCUUGUGGUGGCAUUUCUCCUAUAAAAAAAAAAAGAAAGAAAGAAAGAAAAAGAAAAGAAAAUAUGACCACAUAGCCCCAGAAGCCUUCUUUCUACUGCUUAUUUUUACAAUAUAUUCUUAUAAAAAUUUUCAAAUGCAUAGCAAGUGACAUCCAUGUUGCCAUAACCUAUAUUAUACCAUUCAUAUUUUACUAUACUCAUUUUAUCAUAUAUCUAUCCGUCAUCAAUUCAUCUUGUAAUUUUUAAUGUUUUUUCAAGUGAAUUGUAGACACUAUUACAUUUCUCUUAAAAGCUUCAACAUUUGGUUACUAUUAAUCGAAGUUUAAUAUUUAUUUAUUUUCUCAUGGUAAAUUUUAAAUAUAACAGAAUGUGUACUUGUUGAGUUUUGAUAAAUGCAGAUAUUGAUACAACCCAAACCCCUAUCAAGAGAUAGGAACAUAACUAUCACCCCAGACAAUUUCUUCAUUCCCUUUCCAAUCAAUAUUCUACCUCCACUCCCAACAGAGGAAACUGCUCUUUUGAUUUUUUUCCAAUAAAAAUUAGUUUUGUUUCUGUUAGAAUUUCAUAUAAAACAGAAUCAUAUAGUAUGCACUACUUUGUGUCUGGCUUAUAUAACUCUUUCAAACGGUUUUUGAGAUUUACCCAUGUUGUCACAUAUAUCAGUAAGUUUUUUUUAAUGGCUUAAUAAUACUACAUUUUUCUGAAUACACAGAAGUUUAUCUAUUCUCCUAUAAAUGGACAGUUGGGUUAUUUUGAAUUUGAGGUAUUAUGAAUAAAGCGGAAAUAGAUAUUCUUUUCAUAGACUUGUUAUUUCUUUCGAAUACAUACCUAUGAGUAGUAUUGCUGGCUCAUAAAGUAUAUGGUUAUUACAAAAAAAUGACAGACUUUUAAACAAAAUUAUUGUACCAUUUUAUAUUCUCACCAACAAUAAACAAAA